rnacentral:lncRNA from 1 species
GGGGAGACAUCAAUACCACGAAAACCAUAAAUUCAAAGGAGAAGAACAAAUAGUGAAACGCAGAGCAAUGAUUAAGUAGCAUAAUUAAGAGAGGGAUGAGCGAAAUGCAGUAUAAUAAAAAGAAAAGAGAAGAAGAAUGGAAGUGCAUGCCUAGGUUGGUUGCAAGUGCUGAGUAGUAUGACAGAGAUAUUUCAAAUUUCUAAAGCUUUUCUUCUUCCCCAUUCCCAUUGUCAGUGACACAAACGCAUGAACAAUAGAAAGACACGAUGUGGAGCACAUUGCAUAAUCACGCAGCAUAGCCAUAAUGGAUGAGCAUGAGUGAGUCAGAAUCAGAACAAAACCUAUGACUCGUCUCUGCUUUCGCC